rnacentral:rRNA from 1 species
GCCUAUGCCAUACUACCUUCAGCACGCCCGAUCUCGUCUGAUCUCGGAAGCUAAGCAGCAUUGGGCCUGGUUAGUACCUGUGAUGGGAGACUGUCUCGGAAUACCAGGUGUUGUAGGCA